rnacentral:rRNA from 1 species
GAAUCUUAGACAAUGGGGGCAACCCUGAUCUAGCCAUGCCGCGUGAGUGAUGAAGGCCCUAGGGUUGUAAAGCUCUUUCAGCUGUGAAGAUAAUGACGGUAGCAGCAGAAGAAGUCCCGGCUAACUCCGUGCCAGCAGCCGCGGUAAUACGGAGGGGACUAGCGUUGUUCGGAAUUACUGGGCGUAAAGCGCACGUAGGCGGAUCGGACAGUCGGGGGUGAAAUCCCGGGGCUCAACCCCGGAACUGCCUUCGAAACUCCCGGUCUGGAGUUCGAGAGAGGUGAGUGGAAUUCCGAGUGUAGAGGUGAAAUUCGUAGAUAUUCGGAGGAACACCAGUGGCGAAGGCGGCUCACUGGCUCGUUACUGACGCUGAGGUGCGAAAGCGUGGGGAGCAAAC